AAAAAGUUGAAAACAAGAUCAACGACUUCUUUAUUAUCAAAAAAUGCCGACGAGCAGAAGAUCACUAUUCUCGCAACAGUAACAUUCGAGGUAAAAAUUCAACAAAAUGAAAGGAAGAAGAAAAUAGUAAAAUGCAAAAAAGGAAUAAAGGAGAAAUAACGGUAAAGGAAGAAUAAGGAGAAUGGAUCAUUUAGAAUGGGUGGUCCCAGGAUAAAACGUGACUACCAAUUAAUAAAUGCAUAUAUUAAACAUUAUAUUGGCAACUUAUGGUUUCUGAUUUGUUGAUGAUUUACUGGUUCUUUUCAAAGAUCAUAAAUAUUAUUAUUGACUAUAUGCCCAUAUACAUAUAUAUAGUUAAAAGCUAUUCAAACCGGAAAAGGGAUUAACGGAUACAUUCAUAUACGCUACCGGAUAUACGCAAUACAUAUGUGCAGCUGCAAAAAAAAAUGUAUCCAGGGGCAGCCGUUUGCACCACAUGAGAAUAAAACUUUUAUCAUACAUUUAUAGAGAGAAAAAGAGAGAAAGAGAGAGAGAGGAUUUAUAUAUUAUACAUUUCGAAUUGAAAUUGAAACGUAACGGUAUCCAACAAGGUAUUUAUAAUUACUACAUGCUACUGAGAGGGAGGUUCUAGAAAUCUCCCUUUCUCCGUUUUUCAAUAGCAUGUAUACUAUCAUUAAUGGUAUUGCUUUGACUUUCAUUCUCUCUUCAAUAUAAAUAAUAAUUCAUUUUUUUUUUUACUUUCAAACAAUAUAUUUCUAAUAUCAAAUUAUUCAGAAAAAUUUUGAAAUUUAAUAAUUCAUUUUUUUUAAGUUUUUGUUAUUUUAGUAUAGUUUUUUUUUCAUUUCGGGAGUGUUCGAAAAAUUUUUAAAAUCGCGAUCGUUUAAAAAUUUUAGAAAAGAAAGUGUGUUUUGUUUUUAAUUAUUUAAACUCAUUUCAAGAGUAUUCGAUUUUUUUAAUCGCGUGUGUAUAAGUGUGUGUGAUUCCAACAUCAGAUGUCAUAUUGGCCGAAGAAUAUCAUCAAUUUAUUCCACAAAGAUAAAGGUUAGAGGUAUACACUUUUUAAAUAAAUAAUAAUAAUUAUAAUAAUAAUAAAAAUAAUAAUUACAUGCGAA